AGCGAAUAGAUACCCCGGUAGUCCUGGCCGUAAACGAUGACCACUCACUAUGGGAGGGAUCGACCCCUUCCGUGCUGGAGCUAAACGCAGUAAGUGGUCCGCCUGAGGAGUACGGUCGCAAGACUAAAACUACAAAGGAAUUGACGGGGACCCGGCACAAGCAGCGGAGCGUGUGGUUUAAUUCGAAGCAACGCGAAGUACCUUACCAGGGCUUGACAUGCAGUCGCACCGUCCAGAGAUGGGCGUGCCUGCAAGGGACGGCUGUACAGGUGCUGCAUGGCUGUCGUCAGCUCGUGUCGUGAGAUGUUGGGUUUAAAGUCCCGCAACGAGCGCAACCCCUAUCGUUAGUUACAUUUCUAACGAGACUGCCCCGACUAAAGGGGAGGAAGGUGGGGAUGACGUCAAGUCAGCAUGGCCCUGACGUCCUGGGCGACACACACGCUACAAUGGCCGGUACAAUGGGAAGCCAGCCCGCGAGGGGGUAGCCAAGCUCAGCAAACCCGGGUCUCAGUUCGGAUUGCAGGCUGCAACCCCGGCU
rnacentral:rRNA from 1 species